UACGAAGGUUGCGAGCGUUAUUCGAAAUUACUGGGCGUAAAGGGUGCGUAGACGGUAUGUUAAGUUUGUUGUUAAAGUCUCUGGCCUAACUGGAGGGUUGCAAUGAAAACUGGCGUACUAGAGGGUGAGAGAGAGAAGUGGAAUUCCCGGAGUAGCGGUGAAAUGCGUGGAUAUCGGGAGGAACACCAAUGGCGAAGGCAGCGUCUUGGAUCAUUUCUGACGUUGAGGCACGAAAGCGUGGGGAGCAAACAGG
rnacentral:rRNA from 1 species